rnacentral:lncRNA from 1 species
ACCAACAUUAAUCAUGAGGAUAUAAAGCAUCAGGUUCACACGACAAGUAACUGAAAAGUUCCAUGAACUGAACCAUCAGCAAAAGUAACUGAUUAGUAAUAAGUUAAAAAUGCCAAAAGUACGAGCAGCAGAAUCAAUUCAUCACAAGUAGCUGAAUGGGCAUCUUCAUUCAUCAAAAAGUAGCAGCAUGGGAAUCUUCCAGCCGUUUGCCAUUAGAAAUUGUUGGUAUUCUUUUCCCCUUGAUCACCUAAAUUAAAAGAAACAGGAAAAACAAGUCAGUCUAUCAAAAUUAUGUGCAACUAUUAAAUUGCACCAAUGUCACAUACUCACAUGUACUAGGGGACAGUGUCAACCAAGAAAAUUACCUGAAUCUGGAAAUAAUGUGGUCUGCAUAUGCUUCAGGGCAAUAACUCGCCGAGCCUUUUCAAAAUCAUCCAUCUUAGAUGUGUCAGCUAACAG